rnacentral:rRNA from 1 species
CCUACGGGUGGCAGCAGUGGGGAAUAUUGGGCAAUGGGCGCAAGCCUGACCCAGCAACGCCGCGUGAAGGAAGAAGGCCUUCGGGUUGUAAACUUCUUUUAAGAGGGAAGAACAGAAGACGGUACCUAUUGACGAAGCCACGGAUAACUACGUGACAGCAGCCGCGGUAAUACGUAGGGGGCAAGCGUUGUUCGGAUUUACUGGGCGUAAAGGGCGUGCAGCCGGGAAGACAAGUCAGAUGUGAAAUCCCGGGGCUUAACCGCGGAACUGCAUUUGAAACUGGCUGUCUUGAGUACCGGAGAGGUGAGCGGAAUUCCUGGUGUAGCGGUGAAAUGCGUAGAGAUAAGGAAGAACACCAGUGGCGAAGGCGGAUGACUGGACGGCGACUGACGGUGAGGUGCGAAAGCGUGGGGAGCAAACAGGAUUAGAUACCCGUGUAGUC